UGGGUUUCCAACUGUGGCAAGUAGCGGCUUCUCCCCACAUCCCUGGGCUGGACCCCAGGCCCCUGCAUACUGGGCACAGCCAGGACCCCCCGACCCCAGGGCCUGUGCUUCUAGGAAGAGGGGGAAAAUUGAAUUUGUGGGGAGUGGCAGGCACCUCCUUCCUUGGUUCACAAUGACAGUCCAACUUCUGCCAGUCCUGACUGUCAUUCAAGCCUUUUUGCUAUUUAAGAAUUUUGAGGAAGAAAACCGUCAUGUACUCAAAAUCCUGGUAAUCAGAAGUGUCUGGAGAUUUCGAGCU
rnacentral:lncRNA from 1 species